rnacentral:rRNA from 1 species
UACGUAGGGUGCAAGCGUUGUCCGGAAUUAUUGGGCGUAAAGAGCUCGUAGGCGGUUUGUUGCGUCGGCUGUGAAAUCCCGAGGCUCAACCUCGGGUCUGCAGUCGAUACGAGCAAACUAGAGUGUCGCAGGGGAGACUGGAAUUCCUGGUGUAGCGGUGAAAUGCGCAGAUAUCAGGAGGAACACCGGUGGCGGAGGCGGGUCUCUGGGCAACAACUGACGCUGAGGAGCGAAAGCGUGGGGAGCGAACAGG